rnacentral:rRNA from 1 species
AGCGAACGUUUGCGGCGGGCCUAACACAUGCAAGUCGAACGCACUAGCAAUAGUGAGUGGCGCACGGGUGCGUAACACGUGGGUAAUCAACCCUUCAGCUUGGGAUAACGACUUGAAAGGGUCGCUAAUACCGGAUACGGCGCGGGAGGCUUCGGCUUCUCACGAGAAAGCCUCGCAAGGGGCACUGAAGGACGAGCCUGCGGCCCAUCAGCUAGUUGGUGAGGUAAGAGCUCACCAAGGCGAAGACGGGUAGCUGGUCUGAGAGGAUGAUCAGCCACACUGGAACUGAGACACGGUCCAGACUCCUACGGGAGGCAGCAGUGGGGAAUAUUGCGCAAUGGGCGAAAGCCUGACGCAGCCACGCCGCGUGAGCGAUGAAGGCCUCGGGUCGUAAAGCUCUGUGGGGAGAGACGAAGAAAGCCCGUGAAGAGCGGGCCUUGACGGGUAAUCUCCUUAGCAAGCACCGGCUAACUCCGUGCCAGCAGCCGCGGUAAUC